rnacentral:rRNA from 1 species
CCAACCUCGCCCUGUACGGAGGGGAGUACCAUCUGGAAACAGAUGCUAAUACCGCAUAAGCGCAUCAGCCCGCAUGGGCAGAUGCGGAAAGGGAGCGAUCCCGGUACAGGAUGGACCCGCGUCUGAUUAGCCAGUUGGCAGGGUAACGGCCUACCAAAGCGACGAUCAGUAGCCGGCCUGAGAGGGUGAACGGCCACAUUGGGACUGAGACACGGCCCAGACUCCUACGGGAGGCAGCAG